GGCAGAGGUGGAACCACAAGAUGUCGGUGCAGUUUCAGGUGCCGAUAGAUCGUUCCCUGCAGCACACGAAGGAAUGGUGAUCCGUCCACAGGAGCCGCUGGCCGUAGAGCAUGUUUGCAGGAGGCGUCAAUGUGCCCCAUAGGAUCAGAGGAGGGGGAUGGCUCCAGCAAGAAGACUGGGAGUAGAAGAAGUCAAGGUUUUGUCUGCAGAGUCCUCCGUCAGUGUUUCAGCAGAAAGGUCCCCCUCAUGUUGCCAAAACAGCUCUGACCCGUCGAGGCAUGGACUCCACAAGACGUCUGAAGGUGUCCCCUGGGAUCUGGUACCAAGACGUUAGCAGCAGAUCCUUUAAGUCCUGUAAGUUGCGAGGUGGGGCCUCCGUGGAUCGGACUUGUUUUUACAACACAUCCCGCAGAUGCUCGAUCGGAUUGAGAUCUGGGGAAUUUGGAGGCCAAGGCAGCACCUUGAACUGUUUGUCAUGUUCCU